GAAAUUGCUAAUCUUGAAGCACAUGUUGGUCCGCCUCCCCUUUUACUUUAGCUGGAUUACUUACUCCUGGAGCACCAACACCUGUAACUUUAGGGGAUGCAAUACAAGGUCCACUACCUUGAAGUCGUAAAACUAGAGAAGAAAUCUACGCUAAUUAGAAUGACGGAGAUUAUCAAACGUUAAAUUGGACAAACGGAAGCAUUUCCUCCUUUUUUAUCGAUUCUUCGACAUUUUCUUCUUUUUCCAAACGACAAUAGAGAAGCGAGAUAAAUUUGGGUUCUAGCGGAUAAAGUAAUCCAACAAAUGACAAUUCAAAGCGAAGAUGGCGAAGAUUUGGAAGAAUUGCGACAGAGGCUUGCUAAGCUUGACAUAAUUGACUAGACAACACAAGAAAA